CGAACGCUGGCGGCGUGUUUAAGACAUGCAAGUCGCACGGGAUUGGUUGAGUAGUAAUACGAGAUCAGUCUAGUGGCGCACGGGUGAGUAACAUGUGAAUUACAUGCCCUUCAGUGGGGAAUAGCCCAGGGAAACUUGGAUUAAUACCCCAUGGUAUCGCAAGAUUAAAGGUGGCCGCAAGGCUGUCGCUGAAGGAUUGGUUCGCACCCUAUCAGCUUGUUGGUGAGGUAAUGGCUCACCAAGGCUACGACGGGUACCUGGUCUGAGAGGACGAUCAGGCACACUGGAACUGAGACACGGUCCAGACUCCUACGGGAGGCAGCAGUGGGGAAUAUUGGACAAUGGGCGAAAGCCUGAUCCAGCAAUGCCGCGUGUGUGAAGAAGGCCUGCGGGUUGUAAAGCACUUUUAUCAGGAAAGAAAAUCUCGGGGCUAAUAUCCCCGGGCCUUGACGGUACCUGAUGAAUAAGCA
rnacentral:rRNA from 1 species